GCCCAUAGGGGUAGUGCACUACUUUAGACCAGGGUCCAUAGGGGUAGUGCACUACUUUAGACCAGGGGCCCAUAGGGGUAGUGCACUACUUUAGACCAGGACCCAUAGGGGUAGUGCACUACUUUAGACCAGGGCCCAUAGGGGUAGUGCACUACUUUAGACCAGGGCCCCAUAGGGGUAGUGCACUACUUUAGACCAGGGCCCAUAGGGGUAGUGCACUACUUUAGACCAGGGCCCAUAGGGGUAGUGCACUACUUUAGACCAGGGUCCAUAGGGGUAGUGCACUACUUUAGACCAGGACCCAUAGGGGUAGUGCACUACUUUAGACCAGGGUCCAUAGGGAUAGUGCACUACUUUAGACCAGGGCCCAUAGGGGUAGUGCACUACUUUAGACCAGGGUCCAUAGGGGUAGUGCACUACUUUAGACCAGGGUCCAUAGGGGUAGUGCACUACUUUAGACCAGGGCCCAUAGGGGUAGUGCACUACUUUAGACCAGGGUCCAUAGGGGUAGUGCACUACUUUAGACCAGGACCCAUAGGGGUAGUGCACUACUUUAGACCAGGGUCCAUAGGGGUAGUGCACUACUUUAGACCAGGGUCCAUAGGGAUAGUGCACUACUUUAGACCAGGGACCCAUAGGGGUAGUGCACUACUUUAGACCAGGGCCCAUAGGGGUAGUGCACUACUUUAGACCAGGGCCCAUAGGGGUAGUCCACUACUUUAGACCAGGACUCAUAGGGGUAGUGCACUACUUUAGACCAGGGUCCAUAGGGGUAGUGCACUACUUUAGACCAGGACUCAUAGGGGUAGUGCACUACUUUA